CCUACGGGAGGCAGCAGUAGGGAAUCUUUCACAAUGGGCGAAAGCCUGAUGGAGCAACGCCGCGUGCAGGAUGAAGGCCUUCGGGUUGUAAACUGCUUUUAUAAGCGAGAAAUAUGAUGGUAACUUAUGAAUAAGGAUCGGCUAACUAUGUGCCAGCAGCCGCGGUAAUACAUAGGGGACAAGCGUUAUCCGGAAUUAUUGGGUGUAAAGGGUGCGUAGACGGAAGAACAAGUUGGUUGUGAAAUCCCUCGGCUCAACUGAGGAACUGCAACCAAAACUAUUCUCCUUGAGUGUCGGAGAGGAAA
rnacentral:rRNA from 1 species